rnacentral:lncRNA from 1 species
UGCUGUAAUCUUAACCAUCUUGCUUUGAAAAGUAAAUAGUUUAAUAGAUGAAAAAACGCUUUGCAAACUCAAUAUCUGAUGUAAGUUUUUGAUUGUUUUUGAAAGCCUUAUUGCAACGAAUAACAUCAAUACACAUGAAUCCAUAUCGUGGCCAUGUGUGGAUGGGGGAAAUGUGUUAUAUCAAUUGUAAAUUGGUCGUGUUUUACAUUUCUCCAGCUUUCAACAUUUUUUGUUUAGAGUGCUCCUGAUGACAAUAAAAAAAGACAACAAAAAAGACAAUAACGCAUAUAGUGUGAUUUACUUUUGAAAGUAGAUGCUUCUUGUGACAGCUUUUGAGAUUUGGAAAUAACUUUCAGAAAUUGAAAAAAGAC